AUCUUGCACAAUGGGCGAAAGCCUGAUGCAGCAACGCCGCGUGAGUGAAGAAGGUUCUUGGAUUGUAAAGCUCUUUCGGCUGGGAAGAAGGGUUUCUUGGUUAACACCCCUGGAAUCUGACGGUACUAGAAGAAGAAGCACCGGCUAACUCCGUGCCAGCAGCCGCGGUAAUACGGAGGGUGCAAGCGUUGUUCGGAUUGAUUGGGCGUAAAGCGCACGUAGGCGGGUUUAUAAGUCGAAUGUGAAAGCCCCGGGCUUAACCUGGGAAUUGCAUCCGAAACUAUAAAUCUUGAAUACUCGAGAGGUUGGUAGAAUUCCUGGUGUAGGAGUGAAAUCCGUAGAUAUCAGGAGGAACACCGGAGGCGAAGGCGGCCGGCUGGCGAUGUAUUGACGCUGAGGUGCGAAAGCGUGGGGAGCAAACAGG
rnacentral:rRNA from 1 species